UGACAUUUACAUAGCCCAGGGAAGGCUGGCCACCCUACCCUAAUCUUAUUAUGUAACUGAACUUUCCCCUUGGCCAGGGCCAUCUUGUCUGCUCCUUACUGUACAUGUGGCUGGCAGAGAAGGGAAGGUGGAGCCGCUAUUUUGAACAUGAUUGGCACAACUGCCAGCAUCUAUAUCUGCAGCUUGAUUUUACAGGCUGCUCUUUGUUAGAAAGGAACAUGAUUUGGGGCUACUUUUCAUUAAAAGGAAAACUGUACCGAAGACUUCCAUACCCUCACUAUCUGUUUUAUUUUCUAGGUUUGGGACCUCUGCGUACCUCCUGUGGCUUUAUGGUACCUGGUAUUGUUUCCCCAGACCAUGAGUCUCCAGUGUUGGAGUGCCCACUUCAGAAGUCUGUGUGUUUUGCUUCAUCCUGAGGAUCCCAUCUUGGAUACCACAUUACCUUAAACACUGCCUCAGCCAGGUGAUCAAGGUCAACGUCUACUGUGAUAAGUCAUGGUUUUGGUGUGUACCCUUGAUGUGAUGUGAUAAAAAUGGCACUUUACCUCUGUGGUCUUCCUCUGAAAAAUCCCGUAACAGCAGCCUAAUCAUGAGAAGCAUAUCAACAAAACUCAGACUCAGGGACAUUCUACAAAAUACCAGGCUGUCCCUCCCUGAAAUUGUCAAGUUCACCAAAAACAAGGUGAAUCUAAGAAACCUGUUACAGCCAAGAGGAGCCUAAGAAGACAUGAGGACUAAAUAUAACAUGGAAUUCGGGAUAGGAUUGUGCUACAGAAAAUGUAUGUGCUAAUGUGAGAUGUUAACAGUUGGAGAAACUCAGUUUUGGGUAUAAGGAAUUCUCUGUACUAUGUUUAUCUAAAAACAAUUCCAUGGUGAGCAAACUUAAGCAUAGAAAUGUUAAAUAAAUUGUCCAAAAUAGAGAAGUAAAUAGCAGUGCCAGGUUUCAAGCAUAAGAAUCAUCAACUCUGAACUUUAAACACAGCUCUGUAUGGUACUUUUGUUUAUAUCAAUGCCUAGAUAGAUAAAUAGGUAGAUAGAUAAUUUCCAAGUGCUAGAAACAAAAAAGGAACUAAAACUGAUAAAGAAUAUAAAUGAGGCCAGGCAGGGUGGCUCACACCUGUAAUCCCAGCAUUUUGGGAGGCCGAGGCAGGCAGAUCACUGAAGGUUCGGAGUUCAAGACCAGCCUGGCCAACUGGGGAAACCCUGUCUCUACUAAAAAAAAAAAAAAAUAGCCAGGCAUGGUGGCAUGUGCCUGUGAAGCAAGAGAUGUGAGAGGAAAAACAAAUUUUUCCUCUUUCUUUUGGUAUGGGCAGCUUCCCCCUUGAAUCCCUCCUCACUCCUUGUGAUUUUACCCUGCUCUGUAAGUUUUAUGAGUUUAUAGAUUCCUGUUUUCUGUAACUAGUGUCUGUAAGUCUCUGUAGCACCGUGGAGGUAAUGAGACAUGCUUGAGCAAGCUUAGAUUGCAGCCAUCUGGGCGCCAUAGCGAAGGACACGAGAUAAGGCUGUGCAGGCAUCUUGAGCAAACCUAGAUAACAGCCACCUGGCCUGCACAGCAAGAAUCAUGUGUAAGCUUGAGUUAGGAACCUGUCACAGUUUGAUUAACUGCCUUUGUUCUGCUUCUGUAAGCUUGCUUUCCACACCCCACAAGCUUUGCGCCACUGGCAAGCCACCCUCCUUCAGUUGCAUGAAUAAAAGUCAAGCCCUGUCUUCUUUUGUUGCUCAGCCUCUGGAUAUUAAUCCACUAAGCCAGUGGCAACCUAAAUAAAAUCCUCCUGUUCCACCCAUCUGGUCUCUCCAGUCUCCUCAUUCCUGCAACACCUGCAAUCCCAGCUACAUGGGAGGCUGAGGCAGGAGAAUCACUUGA
rnacentral:lncRNA from 1 species